AUGAGGCCCCGGUUGCGGCCGGCGUUGGAUUUCGUUUUGCAGUCCACGAGCUUCUGCUCGGAUAGAGACAUGAGGUUCUUAUUGCAGAUCCCGUUGAUGCCCUCCACGGCCAUGAUCGUCGACAAAGCCCAGCAAAUGCAGCACUACCCCUGGUCAUUGACGGUGGUCACCGUGCCCUUCUGCCGCCAGUCCACCGACGGCGGCGGCGCUGCCGUGCAUGAAACUGCCACCACCCUCCUUACGGCUGAACAUGCGGUGGUGAGAGACUCGGGAGGAGGCGUUGGCGCGGCGGAACUCGGACUUGCUCCCGCUUUAAACAGACGCCGAUGUGGCUAA
rnacentral:rRNA from 1 species